CAUAAGAUCACCCAAUAACAGAAGUUCAAAAGCCCUAUAACAGCAACCACCUAUAUCAGCAUGGAGAAUGUAAUGAGGUGUCAGGGAAUCCCUAGAACAUCCACUUCUGUCAUACCCAUAAAAUCCAGACAUGAAAGCUCAGAGCAGAUGAUCAUACUGUUACUUUCCACUUCAAGACCAGCAAUCUCUGCUGCAAAGCAUAUUAACCAUCCAUCUCGAAUUCUAUAGUUACCACUAUAUUAAUGGCCUAAAAGCAGCUUGAUUCCUGAGAUAUGAGAAACCCUAGAAAAUUGAAAGGAUCAUAGGGAUUACCUUAUAUCUCUUCCAUCAGCAAUAGAUCAUUAAAUCUCAUUUGGUAAGACACCCAUACUGGCAACUUCAAUCUGUUACAAAAUACACCUGCUCCAUGUAAAAACAUUAUCACCAUGGCCCAACUAAAAGCACAGUAUUAGAGCUCCAGAAAACCAAAAUCAUCAAUUGGUGAGCAUAUUCCAUGCACCAGAAUUGAAGAUUCACUUGAUUAUGUAACACCCAGUAUCAAAAUUCUCUCAGAGAAACAUCCAAGAUACACAUCAACUCGACAGUAGCGGAGCAAUUAAUUUGCUAACCACCCCAAAAACCUUAUUUAAUUGUCAUUUUUUCCAAAGAUAAGAGCUCCCAGGCGGCAGCAGCAGCAGCAGUGAUAACAUAGAAACACUCGAGCGAAUGAUUUUUUUUUUUUUUUAGUCAAAAAUCCAAGGGAACAUGAGAAUAUACAAGGGUAAGCACUCUGACCAGUUCUCAAAAGUUGUCACCUCCUCAAAAUUACCUUAAGAUGUGCCUCUCAAAAUGGUCAUCAAAGCUUCUCUUUGUUAGCAUCAGGGUAAGUAUGAAUAUCCAAUAGUCAGCUACCCACACCAAGUCAACCUCAGGCCCCUUAAGCAAUUUACAACAAUAAUAUAUCAUAUGUUAUUUCUUACUCGAAACAUACCUCUAACGACAAGAAUAAUCUGUUCCAUAGCGUCACAAACAAUAUUAGCAUACAGAAUGCAAAGCUGCUAAACCUCAGUUUGCCCAAGAAACACCUAAGACCAAAUGCUUAGCACGUCAUAAUCCUUCAAAUCCUUUAAUCAUUUGGAAAUGAAUAGAAAAGUCUUUCAAACAUGCAUCCCAGGAUAGGUGAUCCACACUCACAAUAAUCCACCUUUGUUCAUUAAAUGAAGAGGCAAACUCAUGAGACAUUAAAAAUGCUGGUUUAUGCACUAUCAUAGUCAAAAGAUAGUGUGCACCAAAUAAUAUGCAGUUGCAUGCUGUAUCACGCUUCCCUUUAAAACAUUCCGAAAAUGGAUAGAUGAACAGUAUGAGCUUAGGGAUUGAUAAUGAUUAAAAGAAGCUUAACCACCAACAAGGCAAUAAUGCUCACACGGCCAGCUGAGAUGCUAAACAAAGACUAAAAUUGCUACACAAAUCAUCAUUAAGAUGACACAUACCACCACUGA
rnacentral:lncRNA from 1 species